rnacentral:lncRNA from 10 species
AGGUUUUGCAUCCUGACAAUACCACUCACCGGUGGCUGUGGAUGUGGAACCCACCAAUGAAAGUUCCUUCAACCUCUGAUCACUCAAAUAAUCCUUGUUCAUCUCUGAAGACCAAUUUCAACUUUCAGGCCUGACUGCACCAUCUCCAGCUCUCUGCUUCGGGUUGCUGACCUCUAUGUCCAUACCAGCCAGGGUCCCUUUCCCUUUGACUCCUGGUUGGUAAGGCAAUGAUGGAGUAUUAGGAGACAGAAGAUGAAUGAGGUCAAGGCAUUUAUUUCCAUAGUUCUUCUCUGUGGGGUUGCUAAGGUUGGCUCUCUCAACCACAACUAUAAUUUCACAGGGAGUACCUUAUGACCAGUUAAUAAAGGAAGAAAAAUUGCAAGCUUAGAUUAAAUAAGAAUUCACCGAUAUGCUAGCAACUGCUAGCAGUUGCUUCUUUAUAACCCUACUGAUGCAUGGUCCUGCAAGUCAGUGAGUGAAAGGAAAUCGUUCCAUCAGGCAGAAAUUUAGAGGGGAAAUUUGACUGAGCACUGUGUGAAGGGAGAGAUGGCUUGAGGUAGGAACCUGAACUAAACCAUGAGCAGUAGCUAACAGGUUCGCCAGCUGGUAAGGGAACUGCAAAGAACAUGAUUGGAAAGUUGAUGAUCAGGAGAUCUCAUGGAGGAGUACAUUAACAGUCCUCUCGCAACAGGCCCCAUGUUCAUUAAUCAAUUAAAAAUGUUUGAGUAUGAAUUUGUAAUGAAUCAUGUUUGCUGGGAAUUAACAUAGGUAUCACUUUAACUCAAAAAUAGAAAAUUAAAAGGUAAAAUAUAAAGAUAAAUAUAAAGAUGAUGUGUAUCUUUACGUAUUAUAUAUAAUAUAUAAGGAUAUAAAAAUAAAAUAAAAGUGUUUCAUUUUUCCCACUUCAGUGAAGCAUCUUCCACAUUUCCUGGGUUGCAAACCCCAUACUUUGAAAAUUGCUAUAGGUAAAGUGAUGAUAACACACAUUUUUACAUGUCUCAAGACAUUUCGCUGUUACAUUGCAUUGAUUGUUAUAUAGGUAUUAUUUUAUUUUAGUACUCACCUAUUCAUGCUGGGCAUGGGGUUGACUUUCUUACUGAUUAUUAUUACUGGCACAAUAUCAAGAAGAAGAAAAAAUUAACUGCAUGACAUUUCUGAGGGCCAAAAUAGGGAUAAAGUUCAAAUGACCAGCAUACUUUGCUUUCUUUCCUGAUAAUCACUUUGUCAGUUUUCAUAGAAUAUGGUUUGCUAAGGUACUGUAUCUAUGCGUGUACUCUGGUGUGUGUGGUAAUUGGGAUGGCGGGGAUACAAAAACCAUAAAAGGUAGUUUAGGAUGGUGAGGCACAUAUAGUGGAAUCCUAAAAGUACAAUUUGAUUGUUUAAUUUUAUAUAUUAAUCAGAAUAUAUUGCUUGAGGUAGGGUUAAAAUAUCACUGAUCUCUGUGAUGCUAAAAAAACAAUAAAAUAAGGCUAAUAAAUAUUUGUAAGAUUUGCAUUUCCAAAUGACUAGAUGUAAUUCUGAGAGGAAGCCCACAUAUUUUA